UUGCCUUUAUUCCCUUCAUAUUUCUCAGCUCCUUCGCUCUUUGCUCCCUCCCAGUAGGCCAGUACCCACUGCCGCUGCUGGCUGCUGCUCUCCCCCCACUCCCCUACCGGCCUACCCUCCUCUCCCUGCUUCUCUGCUGCCAGUCGUCUUCUCGAACAGCGCGAGCGCGCACCCGCGCAGACGAGAAGGGAGGAGCAGCGAGUCCCGUCCGUCCUUGCACAGUUGCACAGCACUGCCUGGCUGCCUGCAGCCCCCUUCUCUCUGCGCCAUCUGGUCAUCUCCCUCCCCAGGGCUUCAAAUCCGCGGCCGCGCCACCCGCUGAGCUGCUGCUCAGGUCCUUGCAUUGCUCGAGGCGCCCCAGCGCUGGUCGCAUCCGUGCCUUCCGCCGUGUUCCCGGGGGCAGCUCCUAGGCUCGCUCCUGUUCUGCAUCUGUGGCGUUUCUUUAUUGGCCCGGAGCAGCGGCAGCGCUUAACUGUUUCCGCCAUUGAUCCGGCGACCUCAGCUCUGGCUUUGCCCUUGUUUGUGGAACCGGAAAGCCUUUUCUCAGCGCUCAAAAUCCCGCAUAUGAUCUGGUGCUGGGGGUUGCCACCAACAGGUUGUUGCCCCUGCCCCCGUAAUCCUUGCCCCCUUUGCUCCUUGCUUUCUUCUCUGUGCUGCCUUUGAAGUGUUGCCAGAUCGCUCUUGGGAGAUCACUGGUUCGUUAGCCGGCCCAUAGUUUGUGGACAAACAAGGGCCAGUUCGGUCUAUUUCAUUUCACAGAAGGGGAAAAAAUUAGGCGGCGGGAUCCUGCUCUUUCCUGCAUGGUCCCUUUUGGAGAUACUGUUUGGGUUGGGAGGAAGUAAAAGCGGACAAGCUUGGAGGUUCCGAGGAGGGAGGAACAUAUCCCUUUGUAGCUGCAUGAGGAGGCACUGAGACAAUGAGAGAUGACAACUCAAGCAAGAACAAGCUGUCCUGGUCCAAGACCCUUGUUAGGAAGUGGUUCAACAUCAAAACAAAGGCGAAGGAUUUCCAUUCGGAUUAUGCAGCCGAGGAAGCCGGAGUGCAGUGGAGGACCAGCUUCUCGGAUAGAGACGCAUGUAAAUCCAAGAAAAGCAGGACAGAGAGGUUGACUAAGAGGAACGUGGAGCGAGAUGGUAGAGUAGAAAACGGAUUUGAUGGUGCUUAUAUUACAAACACGCAGGACUACAGGGUCUUCGUUGCUACAUGGAAUGUCGGCGGAAGGUCACCAUCUAGUCAUUUGAACCUGGAAGACUGGCUUCAUACUUCUCCUGCUGCUGAUAUAUAUGUGAUAGGGUUUCAGGAAAUUGUUCCCUUGAACGCUGGUAAUGUUCUGUUGACCGAAGACAACGGUCCAGCGAAGAAGUGGGUUUCUCUCGUUAGAAAAACUCUAAACAACCUUGACCAACAAGGCUCCGGUGUCUAUAAUUACCACACUCCCUCGCCGGCUCCAGACCCAAUCGUGGAGCUCAAUGUUGACUUCGAGCGAUCAUCAAGGAGGCAACGGAACUCGUCGUUUUUCCAUCGCCGUUCGUUCCAGUCCUUGAACCGCAGCUCAAGGAUCGACAUGAUGGAUCCGCACUCGUUAGUGGACCGUCGAUUCAGUGUCUGCGACCGGAUCAGCUUCGGGAGCAGGCCAAGUGACGUUGACACCAGCGUGAGGUGUGGUGGGUCGUCUGAUGAUGAGACUAUUGACGAGGAAUCGCCUAGCGGUAUGUUCUUCCCACCGAUGCCGUGUGCGUAUGGUGCUCCACUAUGCGAUGGUUCUAGGUAUUGCUUAGUCGCCAGCAAGCAAAUGGUUGGGAUUUUUCUCAUGGUGUGGGUACGAAGUGACAUAAGGGAGCAUGUGAAGAACCUGAAGGUUUCAUGUGUGGGUAGAGGCCUGAUGGGCUACCUUGGAAACAAGGGAUCCAUAUCAAUGAGCAUGUCUCUGCAUCAGACAAGCUUCUGCUUCGUUUGCACCCACUUGACAUCAGGCCAAAAGGACGGAGACCAGCUUAGGCGAAACGCAGACGUAGUGGAGAUCCUGAGGAAGACCAGGUUCCCGCACGUUCACGGAGCAGGUGAAGAGAAGUCACCGGAGACGAUCCUGGAUCACGAUCGUGUUAUUUGGCUUGGGGACCUGAACUACCGGAUCGCGCUUUCCUACCGCUCGGUGAAGGCUUUGGUUGAGAUGCACAACUGGAAGCAGUUGCUGGAAAAGGACCAGCUUCGCAUAGAGCAAAGGUUUGGCCGGGUCUUCGCGGGCUGGAGAGAAGGGAGGAUCUACUUCCCGCCCACCUACAAGUACUCGUACAACUCCGACAGGUACGCCGGCGACGACAUGCGGCCAAACGAGAAGCGGAGGACACCGGCAUGGUGUGAUCGGAUCCUAUGGUACGGGCGAGGCCUGUCCCAGCUGUGCUACGUGCGUGGCGAGUCUCGGUUCUCGGACCACAGGCCCGUGUACAGCGUAUUCACGGCGGAGGUUCGGAUUCCGAGCCAGCAGCAGGCAGCGGCUCAGUUCGGCGGCGGCGGCGGCGGCAUUACUCGUUCCGCGUCCCUCCUGGGGCUGGCGCUGGACGAGCUGCCUUAUCCACGCAGUUACAUGGACAUCAAUUUUUACUGAUCGACUGCGCGUGUCUCGAUGGAGGACGAAAGGAGCCAGCCAAGCCAAGGGUUCACCUUCUGAUGGCUGGCUCUGGCUGGGUGAAGUUCAUUUCUCCCAAGGUUCCAUCGGUCGGCAUGUUUUGUACUAGCUAACAGAUAGAUAUUCGAGGAGGUGCUUUCUGACUGUAAGAUUAGGUAUGAUCCGCUGAACGGCAAAGACCAUCAGUGCUAGGUUAGAUUUUCAAACAAGUAGAGGAUCUCUUUACCAAUUAAGUACCAUGAAUGGACAGUUUUUUUUUUUUUUUUUGCGCAGUUUUGAAUGUAAACGUCGAGUCCCGGUUUUCGGGAGAGAGAAAAAAGGGAGUGUUUUGUGUCCCAGGCACCACCUUGGAAGAAGGCCGUCCUGGUUUCACCUUUCUGUUUGUUUUUUUUCUUCUUUUUGGCGUCCUGAUGUAGCAAUAGUAAUGUAACAAGAGCAGCCAGAGCCGCGCCAUGAAAAUAUUUUUCUUACUAGUCGGAAUGAAA